rnacentral:rRNA from 1 species
GAUGAACGCUGGCGGCGUGCCUAAUACAUGCAAGUCGAGCGAACGGACGAGAAGCUUGCUUCUCUGAUGUUAGCGGCGGACGGGUGAGUAACACGUGGAUAACCUACCUAUAAGACUGGGAUAACUUCGGGAAACCGGAGCUAAUACCGGAUGAUAUUUUGAACCGCAUGGUUCAAAAGUGAAAGACGGUCUUGCUGUCACUUAUAGAUGGAUCCGCGCUGCAUUAGCUAGUUGGUAAGGUAACGGCUUACCAAGGCAACGAUGCAUAGCCGACCUGAGAGAGUGAUCGGCCACACUGGAACUGAGACACGGACCAGACGCCUACGGGAGGCAGCAGUAGGGAAUCUUCCGCAAUGGGCGAAAGCCUGACGGAGCAACGCCGCGUGAGUGAUGAAGGUCUUCGGAUCGUAAAACUCUGUUAUUAGGGAAGAACAUAUGUGUAAGUAACUGUGCACAUCUUGACGGUACCUAAUCAGAAAGCCACGGCUAACUACGUG